rnacentral:rRNA from 1 species
GAUGAACGCUGGCGGCGUGCCUAAUACAUGCAAGUCGAGCGAACAGACGAGGAGCUUGCUCCUCUGACGUUAGCGGCGGACGGGUGAGUCACACGUGGAUAACCUCCCUAUAAGACUGGGAUAACUUCGGGAAACCGGCGCUAAUACCGGAUAAUAUAUUGAACCGCAUGGUUCAUUAGUGAAAGACGGUUUUGCUGUCACUUAUAGAUGGAUCCGCGCCGCAUUAGCUAGUUGGUAAGGUAACGGCCUACCAAGGCAACGAUGCGUAGCCGACCUGAGAGGGGGAUCGGCCACACGGGAACUGAGACACGGUCCAGACUCCUACGGAAGGCAGCAGUAGGGAAUCUUACGCAAUGGGCGAAAGCUUGACGGAGCAACGCCGCGUGAGUGAUGAAGGUCUUCGGAUCGUAAAACUCUGUUAUUAGGGAAGAACAAAUGUGUAAGGAACUAUGCACGUCUUGACGGUACCUAAUCAGAAAGCCACGGCUAACUACGUG